AUUUAUAUAGUUUAAGUAAAACAUUACAUUUUCAUUGUAAAAAUAAAACCUCCAUUUUUAUAAAUU
rnacentral:tRNA from 1 species